rnacentral:tRNA from 1 species
GGAGACGUGGCCGAGAGGCUGAAGGCACUUCCCUGCUAAGGAAGCAUGUGGGCUUAAACCUGCAUCGAGGGUUCGAAUCCCUCCGUCUCCG